rnacentral:snoRNA from 1 species
GGAUCAAUGAUGAGUACCCCUUCCUCUAUGCAUUCCUUGGAAAACCUGAACAAAAUGAGUGAGAACUUCUACCACCGCCGUUCUCAUCGAAUCUGAGGUCC